CUAGCGGUGCGCCUAACACAUGUAAGUCGUGCGAUCGAGCCGAACUGAGUCCCUUCGGGGAUGAUGAUUGGUGACGGAGCGGCGGACGGGUGAGUAACGCGUGGCUAACCUACCCUCUUGACGGGGACAACCACCCGAAAGGGCGGCUAAUACCCGAUGUUGUCUGGAACCGAUGGGUUCCUCUCCAAAGGCGGUCCUGCCGCCGCAAGAGGAUGGGGCUGCGUCCUAUUAGCUAGUUGGUGAGGUAACGGCCCACCAAGGCUUCGAUGGGUAGCUGGUCUGAGAGGACGACCAGCCACAUUGGGACUGAGAUACGGCCCAGACUCCUACGGGAGGCAGCAGUGGGGAAUCUUGGCCAAUGGACGAAAGUCUGAGCCAGCGACACCGCGUGGGGGAUGAAGGCCUUCGGGUCGUAAACCUCUUUUCUGGGGAAAGAAUAAGGACGGGAGGAAAUGCCCGCCCGAUGACGGUACUCCAGGAAUAAGCAUCGGCUAACUCUGUGCCAGCAGCCGCGGUAAGACAGAGGAUGCGAGCGUUAUCCGGAAUUACUGGGCGUAAAGGGCGUCUAGGCGGUUCGGUAAGUCGUUUGUGAAAUCCCUCGGCUCAACCGAGGAUGGUCUUGCGAUACUGCCGGGCUUGGGUGCAGGAGAGGAGAGUGGAACUCACAGAGUAGCGGUGGAAUGCGUAGAUACUGUGAGGUACCCCGAUGGCGAAGGCAACUCUCUGGCCUGCUACCGACGCUGAAGCGCGAAAGCGUGGGGAGCAAAGGGGAUUAGAUACCCCCGUAGUCCACGCCCUAAACAAUGUUCACUUGGUGUCGGCCGCUUAUACUGGUCGGUGCCGAAGCUAACGCGUUAAGUGAACCGCCUGAGGAGUACGGCCGCAAGGCUAAAACUCAAGAGAAUUGACGGGUCCCUGCACAAGCGGUGGAGCACGUGGUUUAAUUCGACGAUAAACGAAGAACCUCACCCAGGCUUGACAUACUAGUGGUAGGAACCUGAAAGGGGGACGACUCUGCCUUCGGGUAGAGAGCUAGUACAGGUGAUGCAUGGCUGUCGUCAGCUCGUGUCGUGGGAUGUUGGGUUCAGUCCCGAAACGAGCGCAACCCUUGUCGUUAGUUGCCAGCGGGUAAUGCCGGGGACUCUAACGAGACUGCUGGUGAAUAGCCGGAGGAAGGCGGGGAUGACGUCAAGUCAUCAUGUCCCUUACGCCUGGGCGACACACAUGCUACAAUGGGGGGUACAGAGGGUCGCAAUCCCGCAAGGGGGAGCCAAUCCAUAAAAACCCCUCCCAGUUCGGAUUGAGGUCUGCAACUCGACCUCAUGAAGCCGGAAUCGCUAGUAAUCGCGGGUCAGCCAUACCGCGGUGAAUAUGUACUCAGGGAUUGUACACACCGCCCGUCACACAAACCGAGUGGGGGGUACCUGAAGUCGCUCUUCUGAGGGCGCCUAGGGUAACUUCCGCAAGAGGGGUGAAGUCGUAACAAGGUA
rnacentral:rRNA from 1 species